AUGCUCCCCACCACAGCGGUGCCCAGAGGUCAUGCCAGCUUCCUUUUCCCUUUGACUGGUGGGAGCCUGACUGUGCUUCACGUGGUAAGGCAGAUGCCCCGAACCUGUGGAGGAGAUAUUGGAACUGAAGGAGUGGACAGGGCCAGGGGACGAGGACAGAAGCCUCCCCCUACCCCGGGGCUGAGGAUGAAGAUUCAGCUCCUGGAUGUUCAGACUGGCGGAACAUGCCCAGCUCAAGGUCUUCUAACCUCACAUGUGACGGUGGAGAGCUGGCAUCAAAGCUCUCCCCACUGUGAUUCUGCCUUUGGUUCUGCAGACUGCUGUAGCCCCUGGCCUUGCCCCAUGCCUGGAGGAAGGCAUUUCCCCUGGGGCACUUGGCCAACUCCACAGGACUCAGGAGGCCAGUCUAGUGUCCAGAGAACAAACCACCCUUGGAUAGCCUCUGGACUCACCUCGAGGAGGGGGAGCUGCUGGGCCUGAGGCCCAUGCCUGGGGGUCUCCUGCUGCUUAGGUCCUUUUGGGACCCCCACCCUUCCAGGCCCCCUCUUUGCACACUUCUUCCUCCACCUCUACCCAUCUUCCCCCCACUGCGGUGCUAGGCCUGGAGGUGGUGGGGGUGGGGUGGGGGUUUGGCCUUUACCAUUUCAUGUCUAUUUCGAAAUGAAGAUGUCCCACAAAGAGAAGUAACCACACUGUUUACUGAGUGAAAUUCUUUGUCCACAAAGACCCAAGGAUUGGAGGAUCUCUCCCUCUACCCCAGUUUCCCAAUUCACAACCCAUUCUGAAAUCUCUAGCCUGGUAGGGGACAUGCCUUAGUGGCUCUAGGAAUAAGGGGCCUCAGAGUGACUGAGAGAUGCUACAAUGGCCAAUUCAGUGCCUAUAGAUGCUUCUUCUAUUGAAGGUGACCUUGCUCAUUCCAUCCUGGAAGAUGGCUCAGAUUUCUGGGAAGAACAUAACCCCUUGUCAUGUAUACACUCAGGCUUAUGCAUCUAUACAGAAAGCGAGUGUCCCUUACUCGAUGAUUUAAAAGGAUACUGGGGACACUGAAAUGCAAAUAGCUGCCCUGAGUGAUAAAUAAAUUAUUGAUCCCCCACACCAAUGGGUUUCCACAUUAUGGCCAAUAGUUUACUCUUCUUCCUUUACUCCAUCUUUCAUCAUGUCUAACCUUCCCUGGGGUGGAACAGUGGCCUACUCCAAAGUCUUUGGAAGGAGCGAGAAGGUUGAGUGAUCCCCUUCAACAAUGUGAAGUCUUUGCUAACCUCUUUGUACUUUCAACCUGCUUUGUUCUCCUGAUUUCUUCUGCUUUCCAAUCAGUCCCCCUGUCCCAGUCCCUCAGUCCUCAGGAGCAUCUUGCUCAUCUGAGAUGUGAACUAGAUUCACAAUUGAACAUGAAUUUACAAUUCACAAAGGCACUUUUACAAAUGUCCCACUUUGUAUAUCAUCAGGUCAUACAACCACUCGUGGAUAACUUAAUCCCAUCAUGGCAAAUAAGCAUCACCUUCCAUGUCAUCCGGAUCAGUGCUAAGAAAAAAGGAGACUGCCACCCUCGUCUAUUCGAGCUAUGUUAAUGGGAAAGGAUAAGCUGCUGCAUCUUCCUAUAAAGCAGCAGUUGCUAAAGCAGAAUCCUUGCUCUUUCAAUAAACACAGGGUGACUGAUGGAAGGGAUUAAGGUGUAAAGAAAAGAGUUAUCCAGGCCCUCAGAAAUGGGAGUGUUCGUGAGCAGAUGGGUUUGAGAUAACAAGACAAUUACUCAGCAAACUAAAUGCCUCUAAUGGGACAGGCGCUCUGCUCUGCACUGAGGAUACAGAAGCAAAAAGGCACUAUCCAAUCCUUAUUUCCAGGGGUCAGAUCCUAGUGGGGUGAUAAAUCAUGCCAACUGGUACCUAUGGAGCUGGUCAUAGGGAGCCAAGAGGGUGCCUGGUACUGUGUCCUCUGUCUCACACUAUGUUGGCCGUAGCAGAGCUGGGAGGGAUU
ensembl:lncRNA